rnacentral:rRNA from 1 species
CGGACGGGUGAGUAACGCGUGGGUAACCUGCCCCAUAGAGGGGGACAACAGCUGGAAACGGCUGCUAAUACCGCAUAGCAGGAAAGAGACGCAUGUCUUUUUCUUCAAAGAUUUAUCGCUAUGGGAUGGACCCGCGUCUGAUUAGCCAGUUGGCGGGGUAACGGCCCACCAAAGCGACGAUCAGUAGCCGGCCUGAGAGGGUGAACGGCCACAUUGGGACUGAGACACGGCCCAA